AUAAAUAUGAGGAAGAAAUCAAGAUUCUUACUGAUAAACUCAAGGAGGCAGAGACCCGUGCUGAGUUUGCUGAGAGAUCGGUAGCCAAGCUGGAAAAGACAAUUGAUGACCUGGAAGAUAAACUGAAAUGCACCAAAGAGGAGCACCUCUGUACACAAAGGAUGCUGGACCAGACCCUGCUUGACCUGAAUGAGAUGUAGAACGCCCCAGUCCCACCCUGCUGCUGCUCCUCCCUCUGACCCAGACUCCGCCUGAGGCCAGCCUGCGGGAAGCUGACCUUUAACUGAGGGCUGAUCUUUAACUGGAAGGCUGCUUUCUCCUUUCACCACCCCCUCCUUCCCUGUGUCUUUUUCGCCAAACUGUCUCUGCCUCUUCCCGGAGAAUCCAGCUGGGCUAGAGGCUGAGCACCUUUGGAAACAACAUUUAAGGGAAUGUGAGCACAAUGCAUAAUGUCUUUAAAAAGCAUGUUGUGAUGUACACAUUUUGUAAUUACCUUUUUUGUUGUUUUGUAGCAACCAUUUGUAAAACAUUCCAAAUAAUUCCACAGUCCUGAAGCAGCAAUCGAAUCCCUUUCUCACUUUUGGAAGGUGACUUUUCACCUUAAUGCAUAUUCCCCUCUCCAUAGAGGAGAGGAAAAGGUGUAGGCCUGCCUUACCGAGAGCCAAACAGAGCCCAGGGAGACUCCGCUGUGGGAAACCUCAUUGUUCUGUACAAAGUACUAGCUAAACCAGAAAGGUGAUUCCAGGAGGAGUUAGCCAAACAACAACAAAAACAAAAAAUGUGCUGUUCAAGUUUUCAGCUUUAAGAUAUCUUUGGAUAAUGUUAUUUCUAUUUUUUAUUUUUUUCAUUAGAAGUUACCAAAUUAAGAUGGUAAGACCUCUGAGACCAAAAUUUUGUCCCAUCUCUACCCCCUCACAACUGCUUACAGAAUGGAUCAUGUCCCCCUUAUGUUGAGGUGACCACUUAAUUGCUUUCCUGCCUCCUUGAAAGAAAGAAAGAAAGAAGACUGUGUUUUUGCCACUGAUUUAGCCAUGUGAAACUCAUCUCAUUACCCUUUUCUGGGUUUGAAGCUGCUGUCUCUAGAAGUGCCAUCUCAAUUGUGCUUUGUAUCAGUCAGUGCUGGAGAAAUCUUGAAUAGCUUAUGUACAAAACUUUUUAAAUUUUAUAUUAUUUUGAAACUUUGCUUUGGGUUUGUGGCACCCUGGCCACCCCAUCUGGCUGUGACAGCCUCUGCAGUCCGUGGGCUGGCAGUUUGUUGAUCUUUUAAGUUUCCUUCCCUACCCAGUCCCCAUUUUCUGGUAAGGUUUCUAGGAGGUCUGUUAGGUGUACAUCCUGCAGCUUAUUGGCUUAAAAUGUACUCUCCUUUUAUGUGGUCUCUUUGGGGCCGAUUGGGAGAAAGAGAAAUCAAUAGUGCAACUGUUUUGAUACUGAAUAUUGACAAGUGUCUUUUUGAAAUAAAGAACCAG
rnacentral:lncRNA from 1 species